CCUUUAACACUAUUCACAGACCAGCAUCUCUCUCUCAUCUGUCUUUGCAUCUGUCUGUCUGUCUGUCUCUCUAUUGUUAUCUCCUUUCACAUGACACUACACUCUGUAAAACCCCCGUUGGAGAUGAGGCUGCUUCCUGUUAAAUGAUCCUGGCGUCUGGCAUGUAAAGACAACUGCGAACAAAGUAGUAUGUCCUGCAGUAAAGAUACAUAAAAGUCAUAAAAUACCAGAACAGCGGUUGGGGGGAGGGGGGUUGCAUGUGUAUGAGUGGGAGAAGAGGGUGGUGAGUUUCGCCAUGUGCUGUUUCUCCCCAGAUCUGUUUUUUAAAAGUCACUUCAGGCCCUUUGGCCAAUCUGCACUUAAUUACCUGUUCCUGCCCUAUUUCCCAGGCAGCCAACCAGUGCGGCCAGGCUAUUCCCCAUUCCCUCUGUGAGGCCCGUCUCUGGGGCUCAGCUGAUGCAUUACAAAUGCCUUGUGGACUGCAUCUGAUGGGAUUUUCCCUAAGUGGUCAGGAUGCCAACCACAGUCCUGAUCGUUUUAAAUGGCUUGCGAUCCUCAGAUGUGGAGAUGCUCAUUAGUGGCCGCAGGAGCCCGCUAUCAUGAACAGGUUGAACCAAGGAGCUCUGUCAACCUGAGCAUUAAUAGGAGUAAGCGUGUCAAUAAAAGUUCCCAAGAUGAAGCCAUAGAAUGAGGCACUUAAGGACAAUUAUAAACAUUUUGCCCUGUGGUGACUCUCCCCUAUCAAACCUACUCCUAGCCUGAUAAGCACUGCCUCUUUAGGGAUCAUUAAUUUCCUUGAAAAUUUAAACAGCUGUCACUUGUGAUCCUCCUCAGGUGCUCAUGUGGGAGAGAUUAGACUAUGUUUAUAAGCCAGUCUGUUCAUUAAGCGCCUGCCCAUGUGGAACCCCCUCCACAGGCCUGCAGAUCACCCACAGAUAAUUGGGGGCCAUGGCAAAUUACACAGAGGCGCUGCAGGCAGCAAGAAUGGUGUGGCCUUAUUAAUAUCAGUGUGUGAGAUCUUAGUUCCCCGAUCAGAGAUUGAAUCCAUGCCCCCUGGAUUGGAAGCACAGAAUCUCAACCACUGGACCACCAGGGAAGUCCUGACACCCUAUAUCUUGAAAGAAACGUAAGGAUCUGAGAGUUGGACCAGAAAGAAGGCUGAACACUGAAGAACUGAUGCUUUCGAACUGUGGUGUUGAAGAAGACUCUUGAGAGUCCCUUGAACAGCAGGGAGGUCAAGCCAGUUAAUCCUAAGGGAAAUCAGUACUGAAUAUGCAUUGCAAGGACUGAUGCUGAGGUUGAAGCUCCAAUCCUUUGGCCACCUGAUGCUAAGAGCUGGCUCAUUGGAAAAGACCGUGAUGCUGGGAAAGAUUGAAGGCAGGAGGUAUGAUUGAGACACAGAGUAUGAUAUGGUUGGAUGGCAUCACUGAGUCAAUGGACAUGAGUUUGAGCAAACUCCAGGAGAUAGUGAAGGACAGGGAAGCCUGGCAUACUGCAGUUCAUGCAGUCAAAAGAAUGGGACACGACUUAGUGACCGAACAACAAUAACAAAUAUAACUGAAUGCUGCAUAUUUUAUAUAUAAAGGCGAAGCUCUUUUUAAAAAAAAAAAAAACAAAAAACUUCUAAGCUGAUCUCUCCUGAACAAUGUAAAAUAUACCCAGAGAGCAAGUGACAUCUGUGUUCUUUCAUUUUGUUUACAUUAAUGAGCCAUGAAUGGAAGAAAUCCCCCUCCAGUUUCAUUGAAAGACUCCCUUUUAAAUUAAAUAC
ensembl:lncRNA